rnacentral:rRNA from 1 species
AUACGGAGGGGGCUAGCGUUGUUCGGAAUUACUGGGCGUAAAGCGCACGUAGGCGGACUGGAAAGUUGGGGGUGAAAUCCCGGGGCUCAACCCCGGAACUGCCUCCAAAACUUCCAAUCUAGAGAUCGAGAGAGGUAAGUGGAAUUCCUAGUGUAGAGGUGAAAUUCGUAGAUAUUAGGAGGAACACCAGUGGCGAAGGCGGCUUACUGGCUCGAUACUGACGCUGAGGUGCGAAAGCGUGGGGAGCAAACAGGAUUAGAUACCCUAGUAGUCC